rnacentral:tRNA from 1 species
GGGGGGCAUGCGACCCUGGUGGGCGCCUCGGGCUUCAAACCCGCUGGAUGGGCAGGUGUCUGUCUGUCGAGAAGUUCGAUUCUUCUGCCUUCUCGCCA